UCCCGUAAGGCUAAAUACUCCCGAGAGACCGAUAGCGAACCAGUACCGUGAGGGAAAGGUGAAAAGAACCCCGAGCAGGGGAGUGAAAUAGACCCUGAACCCGUCUGCCUACAAGCGGUCGGAGCGUCGUAAUGACGUGACGGCGUGCCUUUUGCAUAAUGAACCUACGAGUUACCUUCCCCGGCAAGGUUAAGUUCUUGAGGAACGGAGCCGAAGCGAAAGCGAGUCUGAACAGGGCGCCAAGUCGGGGGGGGUAGACGCGAAACCGAGUGAUCUACCCUUGGCCAGGUUGAAGGUUGGGUAACACCAACUGGAGGACCGGAUGGGUAAGCGUUGAAAAGCUUUCCAAUGAGCUGAGGGUAGGGGUGAAAGGCUAAUCAAACUCGGAGAUAGCUCGUACUCCCCGAAAUGCAUUUAGGUGCAGCCUCUUUAUAGUAUAUCGUGAGGUAGAGCGACUGAUUGGAUGCGAGGGCUUCACCGCCUAUCAAGUCCAGAUAAACUCCGAAUGCGCGAUAUAUAUUUACAGGGAGUGAGGGCGCGGGUGCUAAGGUCCGUGUCCGAGAGGAGAAGAAUCCAGACCACCGGCUAAGGCCCCCAAAUGAUCGUUAAGUUGAACUAACGAGGUCGGAUCGCAGAGACAGCUAGGAUGUUGGCUUGGAAGCAGCCAUUCAUUUAAAGAGUGCGUAACAGCUCACUAGUCGAGCGAUCUGGCGUGGAUAAUAAUCGGGCAUAAACGAUCUGCCGAAGCCGUGGAUGUCGCAAGACAUGGUAGGGGAGCAUUCCAUGCGGCGUCGAAGAUGAGGGAUGACCCUUGUUGGAGCGCAUGGAAAAGCAAAUGUAGGUAUGAGUAACGAUAAGGGGGGCGAGAAACCCCCCCGCCGAAAGACCAAGGUUUCCUGAUCAACGCUAAUCGGAUCAGGGUGAGUCGGGACCUAAGGCAAAGCCGAACGGCGCCGCCGAUGGAAGAAUGGGUUAAUAUUCCCAUACUGCCUCAUGGAGUGACGUGGAGACGGAGAAGUGACAGUCCUGCCGGCUGACGGAAUAGCCGGUUGAAGGGUGUAGGUGUCGAUCGCGGUAGGCAAAUCCGCCGCGAGAGCCGAACCUGACAGUAUACGGAGCGCUUGCGCAACGUAAUAUGGACGUAACCAUGCUCCCAAGAAAAUCCGCUAAACUUAUCCAUGCGGCACCCGUACCGUAAACGGACACACGUGGUCGGGUUGAGAAUACUGAGGCGCUCGAGUGAUUCACGGUUAAGGAACUAGGCAAAUUGACCCUGUAACUUCGGGAUAAAGGGUCCUCGUCGUAAGGCGAGGCGCAGAGAAUAGGUCCAGGCAACUGUUUAACAAAAACACAUGGCUGUGCUAAAUGGAAACAUGAUGUAUACAGCCUGACACCUGCCCGGUGCCGGAAGGUUAAGAGGAGAUGUCAUCCGCGAGGAGAAGCGUUGAAUUGAAGCCCCGGUAAACGGCGGCCGUAACUAUAACGGUCCUAAGGUAGCGAAAUUCCUUGUCGGGUAAGUUCCGACC
rnacentral:rRNA from 1 species